GGGAGAGACUGCAGAUGGCUGCACCUUCGCGCGCCUUGCCGGUGCCAACGCCCGAAACCCAGCAUUUCUGGGACGGCACACAGUCAGGGGAACUUCGUCUGCAGCGCUGCGACGAUUGCUCCAACGUCUAUUUCCCGCCCCGCCCGUUCUGCCCGUCCUGUGCGUCGCGCAAGGUCAGCGUCUUCAAGGCCAGCGGCAAAGGCAAGCUCUACAGCUACGUGAUCAAUCAUCGCCCCGCCGCGCCGGGAUUUCCCCCGCCUUACGCCAUCGCCGUGGUUGAACUCGAUGAAGGUCCGCGGAUGAUGAGCAAUAUUCUCGAUUGCCCGCAGACGCCCGAAGCGCUCGUGCUCGACAUGAAACUCGAAGUCGCAUUCGAGAAAGUCAGCGACAAGAUCACCCUUCCCCAGUUCCGCCCGGCGAAGGGUUAAGACCAUGCGCA
rnacentral:misc_RNA from 1 species